AACGCACGAGACCUGCGGACCUGCGGAGGGAUCAUUACCGAGUUCGGGGUUUUCCCCAACUCCCACCCUUGUUUAUCAGCUGUUGCUUCGGCGAGACGUUGGAAGCAACCAUCGGCGAUUUGUAAAAAGAACCGAUGCGCGCUCGCCGGACUCCAAAUACUCUGAGAUUAUGUACAGUCAGAUGAAAACAAGCAAUUGAAUAAAAACUUUCAACAAUGGAUCUCUAGAUCGGAAGAGCAC
rnacentral:misc_RNA from 1 species